UUCUCUAAAUUUGUAUACCGUACGUUUGUUCUUCUUGUAUGCCUUUCAGAGGAAAGGCAAACACAAAUAAACAACGAGAUCACCUAACGAACCGGAACAUUAUGGGAUUUUACACAAGUUAAUUACUCUCUCGACAUUUCAGGCUGAUGAUCUAUUGACUUAUCCUCUUUAACUAUAUUCGAACAGUUAAAAAAAAAAAAAAAAAAUACUACACUAUAGAUUAUCCAAAAUGUGUGGCAAGAAGAUAUUUAUCCACAAUGUUCCGUAAAAACCUCAUCAAGUAAUUACAUUUUGAAACCUAUAUAUCAUCAAACUAGAACCCUGAUAUAUUUAGUCAUUUAUCUUUUUUUUUAAAACUAC
rnacentral:lncRNA from 1 species